rnacentral:misc_RNA from 1 species
UUUUUUUUUUUUUUUUAAUAAAAUACAGUUUACUCUGCUAGAUGGAAACCAAAUCUUUUAGUGCAAUACUACAGGGAAAGAAAUUUAAUAUCAUUAACAAAAGGUUUCAAGAUUAACAAGGCAGCAGAUAUCACACCCCAAAGAGUGCUCUGCCUUCAAGGACACACCUUGACACAUGUUUCCCCCAGCUCAAAUCAUCUGCAUUUUUUUUUUUCUUUUAUGAUUUGAAGUUACACGACCCUUCUGAGCUCCACACAGCAUGACCAUGUUCUUGGUUGUCCAAAGUCCAAACCCACCGCAAUUUCUUCCUCUUUUGUUUUCUCUAUCCGACCUCCCCAUGGCAUACUACCAACACUUUUACUUUCGUACGAACUCAUAAAUUCACCAUAAUUCAAAUUAACCCAAUUUACAGUACAACAUAAUUCACUCCUAUUCAUAGUCAAAGUAUUCAUAGAGGGCACUUGCUUUAAUUUGAAAUCAAACCAGCUAAGGGCUUAGGAUUUAUUACUCAUUUAUUUCCAACUCAAGAACUUAUACCUAGAUUAAUUAACUUGAAAUUUAAAUUAUUUCCUCUAUUAAUACUGAACAAGACAGCAGAAACCCGCAUAUACAAAAAAAAUACAGCUCGAUGAUCAAAAGAGGAGAUCAAGACCAACAAAACCCCCCAAAAACAAUAGCAAAAAUGCACAAAGAAGCACUUAAAAAAAAAAAAACUCCAAAUCGAUAAAACCCUAGCUUAGCAAUGAAAUCCAAACCAUUAAUUACACCAUUUAUUUACAUACACGUCUUUCAUAUUUGCUCCUCAAUACAACAUAAACUCAUCUUGAUAAAUAAACAGAUACGAUCCACAAGCCUAAAGGAAAAAAUUCAAGUAUUAUCUUAAUUAAAUCUCUAUUUAUCCUUAUUUAACAAUCUACUUCUACCAUAGUUCAAUAUUGAGAAAAAGAUUCAUUAAAGAAAUUUCAAAAGAAAGAGAUGAAUAAAUCAUUUUCCUCCACACCUGUCCAAAAUCUACGGUUUAAAA